AUGAGUCACAAAAGUUCAAGCAUAAUCAGGCAUCACUCUUUUCAGGAAUGUAAUUGGUUGGGAUUCUUCAGAGGCAAGCUUGUCAAAAGCAAUGUAAUUUUCAUCCUUGUCAUAAACAUGGCACAUUGUCAUUAUUGUCUUCAUUAAACGCCAAUUCCAUGUAGCCUCAUUUAGAUACUUUUCCCAAUUGUCUUCAAUAGAUUUAUGAGCUGCCCGGUAUCCUUGUAGAAAUAUGGUGGGGGAUAUGGAUAUUGAGAUCAUGACAGAGGACCUCAACCCUGCAAAGUGGAAAAUCAUCAAUUUUUCACUCAUUUUUCCAGGUAGCAAGUAUUUUAUCACGCAAACUAGCAACCAAGGGAAAUUUUAGAUCUUUUCUGCCUGCAUUCGUUUGAAACAAUUCCAGACUUGAAAAAGACUUUGAGCAUGUAUAAUAUAAGCUCUCUGCUUCCCUUAUCAGUGUUCAUUAUGCAAAGAAGUACUAAAAAUGGCCUUGGCACUAAUUCUGGUCAACAGAUCUAAAUUCCCAUGAUUUAAGGAUUUCUAGGACACCCACGCAUGAGUGAUUAUAUAGUACAACCGUGAUUCUAUCUCAGCAUUUGACAUGGAAUGGCAAACCAAUCAUGGUAAGACAAUCAAAUAUAAAAAGGCAGUUAUCAUUCGAAAAAAAAAAAAUUUAACACAUGGAUAAAACUAAUUUUUAUGGGACCCAUUAUAACUUAAUUGUUAGUCAAUGAUUAGUUUGUCAUUUCAUAUAUGGUUACCUACAUGGAAUAACCAAUUCAUUAUAUAAUUUCUCCCCAAGCAGGAAUAUUAACUCUUUUUGCAAGAAUUUUAAAAAUAAAUAAAUAAAUAACAGCCUUCAACAAAGCGUAAGGAAUUAAGUGGAAUCCACUAUCUAUGUCUAACUGCAUCAUCUUGUAGAAUAUAUUCCAAGUCUAUUGCCAAUCAAAAACCAAGAGACUACAGAGGGUAGACUCAGAGCAGAAAAGACUAAUUACCAAUGAGGAUAAUCACAAUGAACUGUUCCAUUAAGCUGGGCUUGAGCUGCAUUCCACUCCUCUGAAGAUUUAAAAGGAAUGUGUGGAGCUGUAUGAUGCACCAUUGUGAACGUACUCAUCUAUGAAAUCCAAGGAAAACAAUGACAAUUAGAUCCAAGGAUAGAUAAAACGCAAUUCCAUUAUUAAGUCAUCCUGUGCAAGAAAAAACAGAGAUCACCAAGUCAAAGCAUUGAGCAACCCACAGUCAAACAUAUGUUCUAUAGUUAAUCCAGAACCAAAGAACUCUAUGAUGAGCUAAUAUAUUUAAUUACCAUGAAAUGGAACAGCAAACUAAAAAUACUAUCAAACUUAAUCUUGAAAGAGAGGUGUAGAGGCAUGAUUUUCAGUGGGGAUUACAAUUUCAUGCAAGGUACAGUUCUAAUAAACAUAAAUGUUUGCAUUGCAUUCACCAAAACGAAGCAUUAGUACUAUUUCAUGAACCAACAAAUAAUAUGCAGUUUCAGUUGCAUCUAGCCUAACUAAAAGGGUUUAUGCACUGAAGAUUGAUUUGAAUUAUAUUUCCAAUCACGAAUUCUAACAUGAUGACAUCACCACAUUAGGCACAACGAAACCUACAAAAAAAUCAUUUAAAGAAAAAAAAACACUGAAAAGACGCAACAAUCCAACACGUUCAUUACUGAAUUAUGACACAACUAUUAAAGAUUAGAAAGUAGCAUUACCCAAAAGUGAAAGCCUAACCAUGGCAUUAACCAGAACUUGAUCCAUCCCAUGAUCCCUGUUUUAUAGAUAAUCAAUGGCCAUCCAAUUGCCAUAAAUGCAAAAACACAAGCCAAACUUAUCUUCACCCUUUUAACUUCAUUUGGUCUAAACUUUUUUAUGUCAAAGUGCCACAUCAACCUGUUAGGAUCCUUAUAAAUGUUAGGACAAAUGUCUAUUGAAUAGAAAUUUAUGAAUGAAGUUCAUAAGUUACUAGCCAAAAUAUGCUGAUGAGAAGGACCAAACCAAGAGAUUAGAAACAUUAUCAUUCUCAACAUUCAUACUCCUAUUAUUGGUAGCAUACCAGUGAGCUAUGGACAUCCAAGGCCGAAAUGGGCCAUAUCCAUAUAUAAUUGCUUUGCGGAACAGAGGAGAUGAAUCAAAUUCUUCUUUCAAAAUAGGAUGCCAAGCUGUAUCCCCAACCAACCUAUAAAUAUAAGAAGAAUGGGGGAAAUUUGAUAAUUCAAAAGCUAAGACAAAGGGAAAAGGGCUAUCGCCUAGACUGAUUACUAAGCAAGCAACAAAAUAAUCCAUUUUUACGUUACAAAUACAUCUGUGUGAUAACAAGGACCCAACAAGUAAAAAGGGUUGGUUUCCCAUGUACAGAUAUAUAGCAUAUGCAUAAAAUGUUUGUAUGACUGUGCGCAUAUCAUGUUAUACAGUGCCCAGCAUAACUCUGCAUACUCAAAUAUUGGAUGCAACAUUUUUAUUUAAACAAUAUGAAAUAUAGACUGUGAAUCACUCUGUAAACAUUUUAUUGUUCUUUAUUCCUCUAGCUUAAGAAAUGCUGACAUUCUAAUAAAAUAUUCCUUUCCAAUCCCAAUAUGCCAGGAUGUUGCUGACUACUUGCAUGAUUGUGACACAUGAAAUGGAACUACUACUACAGAAUUAACAAAUUAAUAAGGAAUAUCUUACAGACAUGUUGGUUUUUGCAUGAUGCCUGUCAUGCUUAAACCUCCAUGGCUCAUAUGGGUAUAUUAGUGGCAGAAAGGCUAGAGUUCCCACAAUGUCUUCCACUAAUUUGUUCCUUGAAAAUGACUUGUGAGCACAAUCAUGUCCUACAACAAAAAACCCAGUUACUGCAGUCCCUGUCCAUGCCCAAGCCAGAGGAAGUAGGUACCAUGGGGCCUUUGAAAUCAUAAAGAGCCCCAAUGCAUAUGAAGUGGCUGAUAUUAAAACUGACUUCCAUGCUUUCACAUCAUCGAUCUCAAACACCUUUUUGGGCAGAGUAUCAAUGAUUUCCUUUAAUGUAAUAUUUCUAGGAAGUGGUUCUCCAAUUUGCCUGAAGCCGUAACUUUCUGCUAACUGCUUUCUAUACUGAGCACUGUCUGCUGAAGAUGGUACAACUGGAACUGCCACUGCUUGUACAGGUUUGGUCCUUCUCAAGUGGAAUAAACCAUGUUUCUCUUUCUCUCCUUUCUGAAGAAGCCCGUCCCAUGUCGAGUGAUGAAUGCCUGGAGAUAAAUGGGUAGUAAUCCUCUGACUACGGAUUUGCCCCGGUUUGGGGUUCACGAAGAGGAAAACAGAAUCAGCAAUUCUGCAACCCAUUGAGAAGAAAUGCUAUUGCAAAGAACACCCCCUCUUUCCUUCCCCUCUGGCCCUCUUAAACAAAAAGGAUACAGACUUCUAUGAGUUUGUGAUAGAGAAGGAGAGAAGGGGAUAGGCUUUGUUUCCUCUUUUCCUCUGUGCUGUGAAGGACAAAAGAGGAGCUCAAGAGUUCGCUAGCAUGUAGGCAGCC
rnacentral:misc_RNA from 1 species